CAUGCAAGUCGAACGGAAAGUGCUCUUCGGAGUGACUCGAGUGGCGAACGGGUGAGUAACACGUGGGUGAUCUGCCCUGCACUUUGGGAUAAGCCUGGGAAACUGGGUCUAAUACCGGAUAGGACCAUGGCCUUCAUGGGUUGUGGUGGAAAGCUUUUGCGGUGUGGGAUGGGCCCGCGGCCUAUCAGCUUGUUGGUGGGGUAAUGGCCUACCAAGGCGACGACGGGUAGCCGGCCUGAGAGGGUGUCCGGCCACACUGGGACUGAGAUACGGCCCAGACUCCUACGGGAGGCAGCAGUGGGGAAUAUUGCACAAUGGGCGCAAGCCUGAUGCAGCGACGCCGCGUGAGGGAUGACGGCCUUCGGGUUGUAAACCUCUUUCAGUAGGGACGAAGCGUAAGUGACGGUACCUAUAGAAGAAACACCGGCCAACUACGUGCCAGCAGCCGCGGUAAUACGUAGGGUGCGAGCGUUGUCCGGAAUUACUGGGCGUAAAGAGCUCGUAGGUGGUUUGUCGCGUUGUUCGUGAAAACUCACA
rnacentral:rRNA from 1 species